rnacentral:rRNA from 1 species
AGAGUUUGAUCAUGGCUCAGAUUGAACGCUGGCGGCAUGCCUAACACAUGCAAGUCGAACGGUAACAGGCCGCAAGGUGCUGACGAGUGGCGGACGGGUGAGUAAUACGUAGGUAUCUGCCCUGUAGUGGGGGAUAACCCGGGGAAACUCGGGCUAAUACCGCAUACGCUCUUUUAUCGUUGAGAUAGGAGAGGAAAGCGAGGGACCGAAAGGCCUCGCGCUAGAGGAUGAGCCUACGCCCGAUUAGCUAGUUGGUAGGGUAAAGGCCUACCAAGGCGACGAUCGGUAGCUGGUCUGAGAGGAUGGCCAGCCACACUGGGACUGAGACACGGCCCAGACUCCUACGGGAGGCAGCAGUGGGGAAUAUUGGACAAUGGGGGAAACCCUGAUCCAGCGAUGCCGCGUGGGUGAAGAAGGCCUGCGGGUUGUAAAGCCCUUUCAGUGGGGAAGAAAAACGGGGUGUGAAAAGCGCUUCGUCUUGACGUUACCCACAGAAGAAGCACCGGCUAACUCCGUGCCAGCAGCCGCGGUAAUACGGAGGGUGCGAGCGUUAAUCGGAAUUACUGGGCGUAAAGGGCGCGUAGGCGGUUAGGUAAGUCGAGUGUGAAAGCCCUGGGCUUAACCUGGGAAUGGCAUUCGAGACUACCUAUCUAGAGUCUGGUAGAGGGAAGUGGAAUUUCCGGUGUAGCGGUGAAAUGUGUAGAUAUCGGAAGGAACACCAGUGGCGAAGGCGACUUCCUGGACCAAGACUGACGCUGAGGCGCGAAAGCGUGGGGAUCAAACAGGAUUAGAUACCCCCGUAGUCC